UGACGAGUCCCAAAUAGGACGAAAUGCGCAUCCUGGAU
rfam:Trichobilharzia regenti genome assembly, scaffold: TRE_contig0041672